rnacentral:tRNA from 1 species
GGAAGGGUGGCUCAGUGGUAGAGCGUCCUCGCCGGCCGUCGGCUCCGGUCGACACACGGCUUCGCGUGGUUCGAAUCCCGCCCCUUCCA